rnacentral:lncRNA from 11 species
GUUUCCCCCUUCUGCUUGCAAACAAUCACUGUUACCAGCUUUUGAGGGUGCGGGGAAUCAUAAUCAUGGCAAAGAAAAACUUUACGAAAGGACACUGAGACAAAGCAAAGCUGCCUCCAAAGCAAAACAAAUGGGGAUUUAAAGACAAACAAGACCAGGAACAUGUUAUUUGAAUUUGGCACCAACGAAUGAACAAUGCAGAAGGAAAGAUAAAACCAGGACCAAAGCAAUGCCAAAAGAGAAGCCAGUGCAAGCUUUAAAACCCUUGGAAAGAAAAGCCUGGUGAUGAAGAGACCAACAAAGCAUCAAAGAGAGGAAUAGCUAAAAGGCUUGACAAAGACCAAGCUGGAACAAAAGACCAAAAGGGAGAGAGAGAACAAAGCCAGCAGAACAAAGAUGAGAAAUUGACUGGAGUUCAGAGUUGCCCCUUCACCAUGACAGUUCCUUUCCAGGAGUUUCUCUUCAGACAUAUCCAUCUUCUCACUUCUUUGCAAUUACUUUGCUGACAGGUUGAAGGCUUUUAAAUUCACUCAUACAUGCUUUCCAGGAUUCUCAUACUGAGCUAAAUAAUGGGAAAAAAUAUUCUUCUUCCCAUUUGUAAGUUGUAUUAUUCAUUUCCAGUG